UACGUAGGGUGCAAGCGUUUGUCCGGAAUUAUUGGGCGUAAAGAGCUCGUAGGCGGCUUGUCGCGUUCGGCUGUGAAAACCUGGGGCUCAACCCCGGGCCUGCAGCCGAUACGGGCAAGCUAGAAUUCGGUAGGGGAGACUGGAAUUCCUGGUGUAGCGGUGAAAUGCGCAGAUAUCAGGAGGAACACCGGUGGCGAAGGCGGCCCGCUGGGCAGGAAGGCUCGCAAGAGCCGGCUGACGCUGAGGCGCGACAGCGUGGGGAGCAAACAGG
rnacentral:rRNA from 1 species